rnacentral:snoRNA from 1 species
AUUUGAUGAUAAGGACAUUUUCUCAACAGGUCCUUGAACCUUUCCCAUGCCUCAUAGAUUAAGUCUCACCCUGCGCAAAAGAAGAAACAUCAUUUAAUAUU